ACAUCCUAUUGAAGAAGCUAAAGCUGCUGAACAAGAGAUACACAGCCGAAGACAAGUCCCUCUCCCACUCCAACACCCCAGCCAUGGUCAACGCCCUCACGCUCGCACUCCUCCUCACGCUCGCACUCCUCCUCCUCCCCUCUUCCCGCCUCUCCCUCGCCACAUCACCACCACAACAAGACCCAGAAACCCCUAUCACCCGGUACCAGCAAUACCUGAGAUUCAACACCGCCCAUCCAAACCCAAACUACACAGCUCCAGUCUCUUUUCUAACCUCCUUAGCCCAAUCCCUCGGUCUCAAAACCCAGACUCUCGAAUUCAUAUCCAACAAACCAACUCUUCUCAUAACCUGGCAAGGCUCAAACCCAUCUCUCCCUUCACUCCUCUUCAACUCCCACCUCGACUCUGUCCCAGCUGAACCUUCUAAAUGGACCCAUCCUCCUUUCUCAGCCACACUAACCCCAGAAGGAAAAAUAUUUGCACGCGGAGCUCAAGACGACAAGUGCAUAGCAAUUCAGUACUUAGAAGCAAUCCGCAACUUAAAAGCAAGAAACUUUGUCCCUACAAGGACACUACACAUUUCUUUUGUUCCUGAUGAGGAGAUUGGUGGGAUUGAUGGGGCUGAUAAGUUUGUCAAGUCUAAAGAGUUUAAAGAUUUGGAUGUUGGGUUUGUUUUGGAUGAAGGGCUGGCUUCAGUUAACGAUGAAUUUAGAGUUUUUUAUGCUGAUAGGUCGCCUUGGAAUUUGAUUAUUAAGGCUAAAGGAGUGCCUGGGCAUGGGUCGAGAAUGUAUGAUAACGGAGCUAUGGAGAAUUUGAUGGAUAGUAUCGAGGUUAUCAACAGGUUUAGAGAUAGUCAGUUUGAUAUUGUUAAGGCUGGAAAAGCCGCGAACUCCGAAGUUAUCUCAGUUAAUCCUGUUUUCUUGAAAGCUGGGAUUCCUUCCCCAACUGGUUUUGUGAUGAAUAUGCAACCUUCGGAGGCAGAAGCAGGGUUUGAUCUUCGAUUGCCUCCUACAGCGGACCCGGAUCCUAUGAAGAAAAGAAUUGCUGAAGAGUGGGCGCCAGCUGUGCGAAACAUGACGUACGAGAUAAUUGAGAAAGGACCCUUGAGAGAUUAUAUGGGACGCCCAUUAAUGACAGCAACAGAUGAUUCGAACCCCUGGUGGUCUGUUUUCAAGCAAGCCAUUGCAGCAGCUGGAGGAAAACUUGCAAAGCCUGAAAUAUUGCGUUCAACUACUGAUGCACGGUUCAUGAGACAGUUGGGGAUUCCCACUUUUGGAUUCUCUCCAAUGACAAAUACCCCUGUUUUAUCCCAUGAUCAUAACGAGUUCUUGAAGGACACCAUAUUCUUGAAAGGAAUUGAGGUUUAUGAACAUAUAAUUCAUGCGUUGAGUUCGUUUGAGGAAGCUAAUUCAAUAUAGAUGUUCUCAGUUUGGACAUGAUUGGAGGACCAAUGUAUGGUAUGCUGAUUUUGAUGCGGCGGGGUUGUCACGACCGGUGGAGUCAGAGGGAGGCAAAUAUGGGUGCAGAUAAAUGCAGUUUGGCACUCAAGGCUUGGACGCCCCACCUCCUGCCAUUUCCCAUAUUUUGUAUGUAUCAGGAUAUAAGGGUGGGCUGGUGGCGAUUCCUCCUCCCAUUGCAAAAAAAGGAGGAGAAAAGAAAGUAGAGAAAAGAAAAGAAAAGACAAGAGGAAAGGGUGCUGCUAAAUUCGCUACAAAAUUUGUUGUUUCCACUACUUUCUAGAAUGACUAGUACAUUUUUCAUGCCAGCUUUAAUAAAGAGAGUAGCAUAUUAAGCUGCAA